ACUUCGUCCUGCUGUAGCAGGACGAAGUGAUACCAAAUAAAAGCUACAUUGACAAACUGCUGUCUUCAUUCAAAAUGCAGCAUGAAUGGUCUUUAUUCAUGGAGUGAAAACCUGACGACUUGAACAUGAAACCUUCUUGUUUGGACAGGAUGAGCGUCCCCACUAUUCAUCCCUCAUCCCUGCAGACAUACCAUGUGCAUGAAACCACACACACACACAAUCUUUGUUCAAUAGGUGGAGGUACUCCUUUUUUCUUUUUUUUAAUGCACAGUGUGGGCGGAGUGACUUUUACAGGAAGACUUGAUCCUACAUGCUUCGAAUUCCCUGCACACUUUUUUCCAGUUGUGCUGGUGCAGAGGCCCUCUUGCCUCCAGCUUCUUCCCAGGAUGCUGCUGCUGCUGCUGCUGCUGCUGCUGUGGAUUUGCGUCUGUAUCAAUUCUCCGGUUCAGGUCCAAGGAGCUCUGGUUCUUUCCCAAAGAGAUGGCCUGAGACAGGUAUUUACUCUGAACAACAUAUGAAGUAAUUUGUAUUUGUUUUACUCGCUUUUCUGCAAAGGAGCUUUACUGUGUAUCAGGAAAAAAAUAUCUCUCUCAGUUCUACCAUGGAGAUGGUUUGAUUCUACCAUGGUUUGAAAUGACAGAUUCGCAUCCAGGAGAAGUGGAGGGAAAGUCAAAUGUGAUAAUGUACAUAAAAGGCCAAACCAUCAAUGUCUUUCUUUUACCAGGCACUGGGGAAAAGAUUUCAGCAGGGAUGUGAAAACGGGAAAGAACGUCCUCUGCUGGUUCGUGAACGAUGACGGACACGGCCUCAUCGACGGAUCAGCUUCAGACUACACUGUGCCUCACCUUUUCACUUUUUAAAUCUUAGAAACUCACCAUAUCUGCAACAACAUUGGUCUAAGGUGGUAAAAUACAGUGGAUUUUGAAUUUCCAGUUGUAAAUCAUUAUGCAAUUAAUACUCCUUUGUAAGCUGUGUUGAAGGAAGGUGCUGCAGGUCGCUGCAACGUAAGUCAUGCACUAAUUGUCUAAUGCUAACGUUUACUGAUUUGUUUAGACGUUUUUGUGUCUGGUUUAAACUUUUUGCUCAUGAGGCAUUCAGUGGUAAUCAUCUUAAGAAAGAAACUAACUAUUGGCUUUGCGCAGUGUUUUCUACCUCUUUGGUAAACCAUAAGCUUCAUAAAGUUCACAGGGACUUUGUCGUCACUAUUCCCUUCCUAUUAACAAAUAAAAGUCUUCAAAGUGUGG